rnacentral:rRNA from 1 species
AGCGAACGCUGGCGGCAGGCUUAACACAUGCAAGUCGAACGGGCAUCUUCGGAUGUCUGUGGCAGACGGGUGAGUAACACGUGGGAACGUACCCUUCGGUUCGGAAUAACUCAGGGAAACUUGAUCUAAUACCGGAUACGCCCUUUUGGGGAAAGGUUUACUGCCGAAGGAUUGGCCCGCGUCUGAUUCGCUUGUUGGUGGGGUAACGGCCUACCAAGGCGACGAUCAGUAGCUGGUAUGAGAGGAUGAUCAGCCACACUGGGACUGAGACGCGGCCCAGACUCCUACGGGAGGCAGCAGUGGGGAAUAUUGGACAAUGGGCGCAAGCCUGAUCCAGCCAUGCCGGGUGAGUGAUGAAGGCCUUAGGGUUGUAAAGCUCUUUUGUCCGGGACUAUAAUGACGGUACCGGAAGAAUAAGCCCCGGCUAACUUCGUG